rnacentral:rRNA from 1 species
AGUGAACGCUGGCGGUAGGCCUAACACAUGCAAGUCGAACGGCAGCACAGUAAGAGCUUGCUCUUACGGGUGGCGAGUGGCGGACGGGUGAGGAAUACAUCGGAAUCUACUUUUUCGUGGGGGAUAACGUAGGGAAACUUACGCUAAUACCGCAUACGACCUGCGGGUGAAAGCAGGGGAUCUUCGGACCUUGCGCGAUUGAAUGAGCCGAUGUCGGAUUAGCUAGUUGGCGGGGUAAAGGCCCACCAAGGCGACGAUCCGUAGCUGGUCUGAGAGGAUGAUCAGCCACACUGGAACUGAGACACGGUCCAGACUCCUACGGGAGGCAGAAGUGGGGAAUAUUGGACAGUGGGCGCAAGCCUGAUCCAGCCAUACCGCGUGGGUGAAGAAGGCCUUCGGGUUGUAAAGCCCUUUUGUUGGGAAAGAAAAGCAGCAGGUUAAUACCCCGCUGUUCUGACGGUACCCAAAGAAUAAGCACCGGCUAACUUCGU